GUCUUCGUGGCCUAGUUGGUAGGGCGUAGGUCUCAUACUUUGAGAAGCUACCAAAGCUAAAUCAACGAUCCUGUUACACGGGAAUCAACCUAUUAGACAUCCUAAGAUCGCGAGUUCGAGCCUCGCCGAGGACA
rnacentral:tRNA from 1 species